UGAGGUUUUGCUAAUAGAUUGUCAUGAAUUCACUCUAUGUGUAAAUACUGGAAAAACACAUUUUUAUUUAAAGUUCCAAAUUUUUUUUCUCUCCCUCUCUCUCCCUUCCUCCUCUUCAUAGUUGUUGAUGGACAUUUCCUUUAGCCAAUCAUAGAAGUCCCUCCCCUUCUAAAGAUGACCAAUCCUGAUUGUAAUGAAUGCAUCAUUUAUGACCUCUCAAGCUCCAUAAACCUUUCUUGACUAUGAACUGAGGAAUCCUUGACCAUAAGCAGGUCUUGAAUCCAGUUGCUAAGGAACCUCCUUCCCUUCUCCCUGAGAUGCUGAUCCGGAGCCUCUGGAACCUCAUUUUUGCUUUCAUUCGAGGGACGAAUCAGCCUGGACUGAUGCCCGUUGCUCGACCGCCUCUCUAGGCCUACAUCAACAAUCUACAGAGUCCUGGCUUGUACCCUCCUGGAGCUACAUCUGAGGGAGCCCGAAGGUCCUUGGUAGCUUAUUCCCCGUAUUGAGAGGUUUUAGAGUGAGUUUGCAGCUAGUGGACGGAUCCAUUGAGCCAGCUGAGCCGAAGGGAGCGGAAUAGGUCGUGCGCAGGCGCAGUGAAGAUCCGAGGGUAGGAAGAAGUGAGCCACCAAUAGGAAUUGGAAUACACCUAGCCAUGACGUACGUUUACAAGAAAUCAUGGAGGAACACGAAGAGCGUGCUAACGCAUCCUCCCUGGUGGUCUAGUGGUUAGGAUUCGGCGCUCUCACCGCCGCGGCCCGGGUUCGAUUCCCGGUCAGGGAAGGAGAUUUUUUGAAGCUUUUUAAAAUAUUCACUUCAGAUUUAUUUAUUAAAAAAAAAAAAAAAAAAAAGAAGCAAGCUUCUUGCCGUGGUUCUCCUGAUUGUUUUAAGACACUUAACGGUCAGAAAGAACAUUCUGCGUGUCAUUUCCUUGCGUUACUGUGGUGGUGACUAGGUUUAGAUCCUAUUUGAGGGGAGGAGGAGGAAUAUAUUUGUCUACUUCAAUCACAGGUGAGGUGUCCGUAUGUGUGCAGUGGUGAAUGCCUUUUCAGAGGAAGUCACACUAUAUUCAUUACAUUUAUUUUUUACAAGACUUCUCACAAACAGUAAUAAGUAAAUGUUUCAGAUUAAGAACAAAGUAGAGCAAGAAAACAUUAAUAUUCAAUAAAAUAUCAACACCAAUAAUACCCAAAACCCUCAUUUUUCAUUUGGAGAAACUAAUGAAAACAUACAACAAGUCUUCCUCGUUAGUAUAGUGGUGAGUAUCCCCGCCUGUCACGCGGGAGACCGGGGUUCGAUUCCCCGACGGGGAG